CGGUGGGGGACAACCGUGGGAAACUACGGCUAAUACCGCAUGAUGCCUGAGGGCCAAAGACGAAAGUCGUUUGAGGAGGAGCCUGCGUCUGAUUAGGUAGUUGGUGGGGUAAAGGCCUACCCAAGCCUACGAUCAGUAGCUGGUCUGAGAGGAUGAUCAGCCACAUUGGGACUGAGACACGGCCCAAACUCCUACGGGAGGCAGCAGUGGGGAAUAUUGGACAAUGGGCGCAAGCCUGAUCCAGCAAUGCCGCGUGGGUGAAGAAGGUCUUCGGAUUGUAAAGCCCUUUUGGCGGGGACGAUGAUGACGGUACCCGCAGAAUAAGCUCCGGCUAACUUCGUG
rnacentral:rRNA from 1 species